UUGGAGGGCAAGUCUGGUGCCAGCAGCCGCGGUAAUUCCAGCUCCAAUAGCGUAUAUUAAAGUUGUUGCAGUUAAAAAGCUCGUAGUUGAAUUUCGGGAUUGACGUGAUGGUCGUGCCUUACGGGGUAUGAACUGUUGCUGUUGAUUUCUCACCUUCUGGAGAAACUUGAUGUCCUUAAUUGGGUGUCUUGCGGAUCCAGGACCUUUACCUUGAAAAAAUUAGAGUGUUUAAAGCAGGCAUUUUUGCUCGAAUACAUUAGCAUGGAAUAAUAGAAUAGGACGGCAUGGUUCUAUUUUGUUGGUUUCUAGGAUCACCGUAAUGAUUAAUAGGGAUAGCUGGGGGCAUUAGUAUUCAAUUGUCAGAGGUGAAAUUCUUGGAUUUAUUGAAGACUAACUACUGCGAAAGCAUUUGCCAAGGAUGUUUUCAUUAAUCAAGAACGAAAGUUAGGGGAUCGAAGACGAUCAGAUACCGUCGUAGUCUUAACCAUAAACUAUGCCGACUAGGAAUCAGACGAUGUUAAUUUUUUAAUGACUCGUUUGGCACCUUACGGGAAACCAAAGUGUUUGGGUUC
rnacentral:rRNA from 1 species